GGAGACAGUCACUGAAGGUGUGGAGAAGUCAUGUGCGGGCUAGCCACUGAGAUGCAUGUUCUAUGAGGGGCUUCGGGGAGGGGCUUUCCCCGAAUAGUGAAUUUGGGUGGCAGCCCGAGAACUGCUGCAACCAGGACGCGAACCCGGAUCUCCUGCACCACGGGUGACAAUGUUAACCAGUCAACUAAAGGGUCGACACUCACGCCAACAACGCAAACAGAAGAAAAGCGUCGAGGAGUCAAGACCACUUUUCUAAGAGAACACAAUUUCCACUGCUGCGCUACAGACUGACAAACUCUGUGUGCUGAGUGAGAUUACACGUCAGCAUCAUGCCAUCAUCAUUGCCAUUAGGCCUAAUUCAGUGGUUGCCUUGUACAGUUAAAAAUAGCACC